rnacentral:sRNA from 1 species
UGAGAGCUGGCGACAAAGCCGGUGGAGGG